AUUGAACGCUGGCGGCACGCCUAACACAUGCAAGUCGAGCGGCAGCGCGAUAUGUAGCAAUACAUAUUGGCGGCGAGCGGCGGACGGGUGAGGAACACGUAGGAACCUACCCUCGAGUGGGGGAUAACCAAGGGAAACUUUGGCUAAUACCGCAUGAACUCUAGAGCGCAAAGCUGCCGCAAGGUGGCGCUCGAGGAGGGGCCGGCGUCCGAUUAGCUAGUUGGUGAGGUAAGAGCUCACCAAGGCGAUGAUCGGUAACUGGUCUGAGAGGACGACCAGUCACACUGGGACUGAGACACGGCCCAGACUCCUACGGGAGGCAGCAGUGGGGAAUAUUGGACAAUGGGGGCAACCCUGAUCCAGCGAUGCCGCGUGAGUGAAGAAGGCCUUCGGGUCGUAAAGCUCUUUAGGUUGGGAAGAAGGGUGAUGGAGGAAAUGCUAUCACUUUGACGGUACCGACAGAAUAAGCACCGGCAAACUCUGUGCCAGCCGCCGCAGUAA
rnacentral:rRNA from 1 species